UUUCACUUUGAUUUUAGCCUGCAGGGAAAGGGAUGAGUAAGUGCUGCAGCCAUGGCCGCCAACUUCGGAUCCAUCCCCUUGAUUGGUAUCUCUUGAAAUGCUCUUACAAAAUCAAAGUGUAGCAAAAGUUGUUCAACAGUUGGACAAAGCUUGCAGAGAUGCUGGCUUCUUUUACGUGACGGGCCAUGGGAUUCCGGUUUCAGCAAGGCAAACACCAACAAAAAUUGUUGUAUGAUUAGGAAUAUUGAGGAGUUCAUUAUCAACAAAAUGAUGGUAAAGAGCAUUUCAAGAGAUACCAAUCAAGGGGAUGGAUCCGAAGUUGGUGGCCAUGGCUGCAACACUCACUCAGCUCUUUCCCUGGAGGCUAAAAUCAAAGUGAAAUUGUUGCUGCACUUUUUGUUCUACCAAAUAGUUAAUCCUAUGAAUGUUUAAUUGCUUGAUUGCACCACCACAUCCACGUGCAACUAUCAUUUCUUGCCUUAAUAAAUCAUAAUAAUGGAGGGAGUACAAUUUAGUCACAUGUAUCAUUUCAAGAUUACUUAGAAACAUACUCCCUCCGUUUCACUAUAGUUGAGUCAUUUUACUAUUUCGGGAAGUUUCUUCAUAAUUGAGUCAUUUCCUUAUAUGGUAACUUUUUUGUUUUUCUUA